rnacentral:rRNA from 1 species
AUUGAACGCUGGCGGCAGGCCUAACACAUGCAAGUCGGGCGAGGGGCGGAGGGGUGAGUAGUGUAUGGAAAUCUGCCUGAUGGCGGGGGAUAACUAGUGGAAAGGGGCGCAAAUAGCGCAAAAUCACAGAUGAACCCAUGUGGGAUUAGCUUGUGGGGGAGGUAACGGCUCACCUAGGCGGCGAUCCCUAGCUGGUCUGAGAGGAUGCUCAGCCACACUGGAACUGAGACACGGCCCAGACUCCUACGGGAGGCAGCAGUGGGGAAUAUUGCACAAUGGGCGCAAGCCUGAUGCAGCCAUGCCGCGUGUAUGAAGAAGGCCUUCGGGUUGUAAAGUACUUUCAGUCGGGAGGCGUUACCCACAGAAGAAGCACCGGCUAACUCCGUGCCAGCAGCCGCGGUAAUAC